GCCGGCAUGGCGGAACUGGCAGACGCACGGGACUUAAAAUCCCGCGAGGGUAAAACUUCGUACCGGUUCGAUUCCGGUUGCCGGCA
rnacentral:tRNA from 2 species